AAAAUGCUGGAAAUAUACAUAUAAACUAUACAUAUGAUCAGUUGAUCACUAACACAUUAAACUAAAAAGAAGAUGAUAUGUAAAAUUUUCAACUACAAUCUACAGCCACGAUUUUCUCCUAAAUAAAAAGUGAAAGCAACUGACAGUCCAUUCAAUUUCUAGUAAAAUAAGUCAACAAUGGUCUUUCUAAAGCAAACACUAAUAAAAGAAAACAACUAGAAGCAGUAUGAGGUUGCAGAAGUUAAACUGAAUGUUACAGGCUAAGAUGUUAAACAAGCUAUGCAUUAUUGCAGCUACUUGACAAAAUGAAUGGCAAAUACAAAUAUCCUGUGACCUGUCGACUAGACUCAACAAAGGGGAAGUUAACCCUCGUGUGAAGGCAGAAACUAACAAAAAACGGAAGUCCCUGCUACUUCAUCUUGUCCCCAUCAUCACGUAUAAGGAGAACAUGGCUGAAACUGAAUCCCAAAGGUACAUUGCAAGAAACCUGCAGAAUAUAUAAAUAAGAGCUAAUUGCAAUAACUGCAUUAAAAUUAGAAAAGGAAUAAAACCAUCCGCAUAUUAUAGGAAUAAAGCAUUAAAUAAAAAAUAGCAGAUAAUAAAAACCUGACGGUCAAUCUAAAUUUGCCUAUAUUGAUACGGACUUAGUGUUUAACAAAGUUGAAUAGUGAUAAAGGGUCUAUAUGAUUCUAACUAGUUUGGAAUUAAGACUCGGUUGUUGUUGUUGUUGUUAUUUUUGCAUAAACAAGAAAAUAUAUAUGUUCUAACCAAGGAGCCAGAUCCAAAGAUAUAAAAAAUGAGAUUUUUGGUACUAGAAGUCUUAAGGUAUAGAGGUGUGACGAUAAGUCCUGGAAUAGUACACAGUGAAAGAAGUACAAACAAAUCAGCAUCUUUGAAUGCAACUCCAAAUAUGAACUUAGGUGAAGACCUAGAAAGUAGAAACAUCUUGUGCAUUCAGAAUAUCAAGUUUGCUAUUUAUGUGGUCUCCACAUUAGAGAAAUUGUUAUUACUCAUCAGCCUAAAUAUUCCUAAUACCCUUUUAAGGUGUGCAGUAAUUUUGGUGCAUCUUCCUACAUACCUAAUUUUGUUAUCCAAUUUGAAGCUCCAUGUUGUCCUAUAUGAAAUCAAACAUAAACUGAUGUAUAUAAGCUAAUUGCACCACUGGACUUCAUUUACCAUGUUUAGUAUUUUGAUAUAUUUAAAUUUUAAUAGCCGCUGAUCUCACUGGUGCAUUACAUUAUCAUAAUCACAGCUAUAACCAUCUUUUAUAAAGAUCAAUUGUUUAUUUCUAAGCAUGCAGAUGCAGCAUCAAAAUCUAGGCAAACUUACAAGAAAAGGUUAGCUAAGAGUCUGACCAGACUCUAUCCCUAACAAUCCCAAAAACAGAGGUCAUUUUGGAUUCUGCAGAACCUUUUGUUUGCCAUAAGUAACGAAAAAAUGCCAUGCUCUCGAGAACAAGCUAUUUGAAAACAAAUAUCUAUUUAACUAUACCACGAAAAUAGCAUUUUCAAACAAUAACAUAAAUUGAGCAGCUUGUAUAUUGAUAGCUAGUCUCCCUAACAAAAAAGAGGAAACAACAACACAGACACACCCGCAAAAGGCCUCAGGUCACCACAAGUGUGCUGAUUACAGGACAUUUUAUUGCAAGUGAACAGCUGCUAACAAAGCUUCCUUAUUAUUUUUAGAAGUGGCCAAAUGACAAUUUGAACUUUAAAAUUAUAGCGAAAGGUCAGAACAAUGUCAUACAUAUUUGAGUAUCAUAUACAAAUAAAGUUGAUUAAAAAGAAAGACACACACACAGAGUCUUCAGUAUUUUUAUAUAUGUACCUUAGCAAGCAAGACUUCAUCUAUCCUAGAUGAAGUUUGAGAGCGUUAUACAAGAUUUUCAGAGGAUGCACCUCAUGCGAACUCUAGAGCAUGGUAAAGUUUUGAAACUCGUCUACGAAGUAAUGGUUCUAACCGGAAAGAAGGAAUUCCACUAUGCAACUUUUUGGCUUCAUACAUCUCAUUCCAUGCCUGUACUAUUUCAUCAAUUCUAAAUCCUAGACCUUCUAAUGCAUUAUCAUUUGAAAUAUGGUUCUUUAUCAUAACAGCUAU
rnacentral:misc_RNA from 1 species